AUUGAACGCUGGCGGCAGGCCUAACACAUGCAAGUCGAACGAGUGGCGGACGGGUGAGUAAUGUCUGGGAAACUGCCUGAUGGAGGGGGAUAACUACUGGAAACGGUAGCUAAUACCGCAUACCAUCAGAUGUGCCCAGAUGGGAUUAGCGAGUUGGUGGGGUAACGGCUAACCAAGGCGACGAUCCCUAGCUGGUCUGAGAGGAUGACCAGCCACACGGGAACGGAGACACGGUCCAGACUCCGACGGGAGGCAGCAGUGGGGAAUAUUGGACAAGGGGCGAAAGCUUGAUUCAGCCAUCCCGCGUGUAUGAAGAAGGCCUUCGGUUUGUAAAGUACUUUCAGCGGGGAGGCGUUACCCGCAGAAGAAGCACCGGCUAACUCCGUGCCAGCCGCCGCGGUAAUAC
rnacentral:rRNA from 1 species